UUAAUUAAUUUUCUCUGUGGUUUGCUUGGUAAAAGGCUUCUCUCCUAAGGUAAGGCAGCUGUGACUACACACAGAAGUAUAAGAAAAGCCAUAAGAUAGAGGCUAAGAGUUUGAAACCAGGUUACCACCUACACUGAGGCCAAACUUUCAGUUAUGUUGACUGCACAUAAAUGCUGCUGAAAUUAGAAGGAUCUGAAGAUGACUGGAAAUUGGUCUUUAUAGCCUUGAUGGGGGAGAGAGUGCCAGGCUAUAUGCCCCAGCAAACUCCCUCCUGCAAUGAUGGAGGCCAUGAGCAGUAACCACCGACAGCAAGUUUGCUGCAUCUGAGGUGAAAUGAGGUCAGCUUUUGCAGAGAAACUGGGCUGUCACAGCCAAGGACCUGACCAUUAUCUUUUUAUUUCACGUUUUUACAUCUCCCAGACUGUAGCUCACAGGCAAGCUGAACCAAUACAUCAGAACGAGACAGGUGAGAUACUAUUAUAAUGCUAAGUAUUAAAAACUAUCUCUGCACUGAUUAUGGAGAAAAAAGCUGCUGCCGUAUAAUGGUAACUGUUGAUUCAAUGGCUAUGGAAGUGCAGGGUGUAGAGGGCAAAAGCUUCUUUAUUCAAAGGGAAAUUAUGCUUCAAAACUGGCUUUAUUCCAGCACUGUCGAUAGACCAGUUCUCUCUCCUUCCCCCUCUUUCUAUAUAAUCUCAGUUACUUACAACAUUAAAGGUCUUUAGAAGCUUCUUUCUGCAACAGAGCCCUGCUUCUGCCCCUCAUCACCCCGGUGAAUGACAAUUUGAAAGAAAACCAGAAGCCUUGCUACGGAUUUACAAGUUUCUCAGAGCAAAUCACUGGAUGCCAAAGAAGCUGCCAGGCUACUGCAACUUGCUAGCAGUUAUAAUCAGCGAACAAAGGAGUCAGAGGCAGCACCAAGGGGGAACCUUUUGUGAAAAAUAUUGACCAGCAAAUUACACUGUAGACAGUGCUUUGGCACUUGGCUGUCUAAAGGUGACUCAAACGAUUCGUUUAGCUCAGCGAGCUGGUUUCUAAUUACACCAAAUGCCUGACUGUUGUCAGUGGGCCCAGUAUUUUGUGAGCGGGUGCUCUUCGCAUGUGUCAUUCAUUACCUCACACUGUACCAAGAGCCAUCUCUGCAGGGAGAAUAGUUGGCAAUGCCAUUCGCUUGGAUAAUUUCUUCAGAUAGUGGAUUGCAACAAAACCCUCAAAACAAUCCCCUUCUACCCUUCCAAAAAAAAUUUAAAAAAUAAAAAAAAAAAGAGAGAGAAAGAAAGAAAAGAAAGAAAAUCCUACCAAAACAAACAAACAAACAAAAAACAGCAGAGCCCCCAGCCACCACAUGCUAAUUUCAGUAAAUGCCCUGGAAUGAAAUGGUGGCAAGUUGCUGUCUGGGGUUUACAAGUUGAACACAGUUUACCCUUCCUGGGUUUUAGCUGGACUCCUGCUCUGGUGCCAGAGUAACAGCUGUAGCAGCUGCACUUGCAUUUUGCCACCCAGUACAGGCACCUGCUGUGACCAAGGAAGUGAAAACCCACAGAGAUGCAAUUUUCUUUUAAUUACAUUAGCCUGGUUUUGGCAGUCAGCCAUACAACAGAGUAUUGGUGGGGAUGUGGACUCUAUUCACAAUUAGAGCCUGUCUGGGGGUUACUUUAGACACGUGGCAGGGAGAAACUGGGCAGGAUCCAUAUUAGUGCUGAUUCCUGUUUUGGAGAAAUAAUCAAGAUUGACAUGAUUUUUGUUAUGUGGUGGUAACUAAAUUGAACUCUUAGAUCAGCUUUAUACACUUUAGAGACUGUCUGGGUCAUAGCAGUUAUUUACAUGCCACUGAAAUAUCCAGGGUCAGGCCAUGGGUCUAAGGAGUACCUGAAAAUCACCCGUGCUCUUUAAUUGCUAUUUUGACCCGAACGAUGCUGCCCCAGACAUGCCUGAGCGCAGUCUGAGGGACAGCAUGGGUGAGGCUGCUCCCAGACAGCCUGUUCCCAAUAAGCUCUACAGAUGAGGACAUCAUAUUUUGGAGGGAGAGAAAGUUGAGGCAUGCAGACACGAGCCAUGUGGUGCCAAUUCUCCCCAGGGCCAGAGCAGGCUCUGGCCUGUUUCAUUUAUUCCUACAGAGACAGCCAGCUCCACCUGACUGUCCCUGGGUGCUGUGGAGAAGGAGGUGGGCUCUGGCUGUUUUCCACAGGAGGAAGAAGCUGUUCUUUGUUCCCAACAUGCUCAGUGGCUAAAAUUAUCUUUUCUGUAGCAGGUGCAUUCAAGGUCUUUAUGCUAGGAUGGUCACAGUGAGGAAUAACAUACCAUUUCUUACAGCUUACAUUAACUUCGUUUUGCCAACUUGCAGAAUGUAUUGAGGAAAUAUCAUGACCCAACAACAACGCUCAGGCAACGCUUGUUCACUGUCCAUUUAGCUUCAGAUGCUGUCACUACUUGAAUUAAGGUCCGUUUUCACCUUAGGCAACCUCUUACUGCUUUUAACCUUCUGAGCACCAUUGCAGGAAGUGAGCCAUGAUGCAAAGCAGAACUUUGGAUCUCCAUUUUGCCUGUCUACAUCAGAAAAGAUGCCUCAGAAGCUGGCAAAAAGCUCACGCUUGUAAGACACUCACUGUGCUCACCUUGGCAAGGGGACGUAAGUGGGGAAGACCCUAUGCACCUUCCUCUGCCCUAGCAAAGUGUCUGCAAGAGACAAGCAAUGCAUCCCUUGUUGUAUCACCCAGACUUGGUCCCUGGGCCACCUGUGUAAGUGCAAUGAGCAAUGCUCCUGGUAUGCAAAAGCUGCCACAAAAACCCUUCACAGGUGCCUGACUUUGAAUUCCCAGGGCGAUGCGCCACAAAACAGAUGAGUCUCAGCACACUCUUUCUGUUCACAGGCCUGGCAAGCCCCUGGAUCCUGUAGGAGACAAGACAAGGAGCACUCUGUGGACUCACGUAUGCCAGAACGAGAGCCAUCAAUCUCUCUGCCUCUGCACUAUUAGAAAGGAGCUGGCACUGAAAACAGAGCAAAUGACAUAGUGCAAGUUGUUUCCUCCAUGGCAGGGCUGUAGUGCAGACCAGAGACCGUGCAGAGUGUCAACACAAACGUCUGCAGGAUGCUGAAAGACUCAGUCAUCAGAGGAGGAUGAGAUCUGGGCUGAGUGUUAACAGCAGGGUGCUUGGUCACAAGGAACAAAGGUGGAAAGAGAAGACACAGAAAAAGCUUCUCUGUCCUGGCCAAUCAACUGGAUGAAACAUUUGCUGAAAAACAGGUCUCAUGGUUUCUUUAGUAAGGCUGUAAUCAUGCUUCUGUUUCUGAAGAGCUUUAUUCCCAACAAGUGACAGGAUUGCAUAGCGCUGUGAACAGCACUCGGGACUGUCUGGAACAUGUAAAGUGUUGCUUUGGGGAGGGGUGUGCAUGUGUUUGAAUAAAAUUUUCCAGUUAAAAA